CGUAGGGGCAAGCGUUAUCCGGAUUUACUGGGUGUAAAGGAGCGUAGGCGGCCAUGCAAGUCAGAAGUGAAAGCCCGGGGCUCAACCCCGGGACUGCUUUUGAAACUGUAAGGCUAGAUUGCCGGAGAGGUAAGCGGAAUUCCUAGUGUAGCGGUGAAAUGCGUAGAUAUUAGGAGGAACACCAGUGGCGAAGGCGGCUUACUGGACGGUGAAUGACGCUGAGGCUCGAAAGCGUGGGGAGCAAACAGGAUU
rnacentral:rRNA from 1 species